UACGUAGGUGACCAGCGUUGUCCGGAUUACUGGGCGUAAAGAGCGCGCAGGCGGUCGUUCAAGUCGAGUGUGAAAGCCCCCGGCUCAACUGGGGAGGGUCAUCGAUACUGAUCGACUUGAAGGCAGGAGAGGGAAGUGGAAUUCCCGGUGUAGUGGUGAAAUGCGUAGAUAAUCGGGGAGGAACACCAGGUGGCGAAGGCGACUUCCUGGCCUGUUCUUGACGCUGAGGCGCGAAAAGCUAGGGGAGCAAACGGGG
rnacentral:rRNA from 1 species